AACGAACGCUGGCGGCAUGCCUAACACAUGCAAGUCGAACGAGACCUUCGGGUCUAUUGUCGCACGGGUGCGUAACGCGUCGGAACCUUCCCUUAGGUUCGGAAUAACUCCCCGAAAGGGGUGCUAAUACCGGAUAAUGUCUUCUGACCAAAGAUUUAUCGCCUUUGGAUGGUCCCGCGUUGGAUUAGCUCGUUGGUAGGGUAAAAGCCUACCAAGGCGACGAUGCAUAGCUGGUCUGUGAGGAUGAUCAGCCACACUGGGAGUGAGACACGGCCCAGACUCUUACGGGAAGCAGCAGUGGGGGAUAUUGGAAAAUGGGCGAAAGCAUGAUCGAGCAAUGACGGGUGAGUGAUGAAGGCCUUAGGGUUGUAAAGCUCUUUUAACCGGGAUGAUAAUGACAGUACCGGGAGAAUAAGCUGCGGCUAACUACGUG
rnacentral:rRNA from 1 species